AAUUCAUAAAAAUAACCAUAGAAAGACCACUUCAAGAUACUGAAAGACAAAGCGAUUGCAUUUCAGGUCCUGACAUCUCAAAUGAAAUCAUAUUUUUGUAAUCCCUGCUAAAAAAUGCAAUAACUUGUUCACGAAACCAUGAAUUUUGCAUAACUCCUUAAAUAAUCACAAUGAAAAAGAAAUGAAAAAAAAUAAAACAAUCAACAUAUUUAAAAAGUGACUUCAACUAAACACAUCAGAACUCCUAUAAUUACCUUCCCAGAAGAUGUUUACAGAACCAUAACAAAAUAAACGAGGACACCUAACUGUGUAUUCACACCCCAAUUGAGAUAAACCCACUAAAGGUAAUUCAAUAAACCUAUUACUUAGUCUCAAAGUCUCAAGAUUCUCAAGACAUUCACAAGAGAGCAUCAUAUAAUCUCAUUACUACCAGUAUAUGUAAUUAUGUUGGUGAUCCUAUUUACAGAACCAACAUGUGUGCUCAAUGCAAAAUACAUAAAAGUCAUUGCUUAUGCUAAUACCCAAAUACCCUAUAAAAUUCGCUUAAGGUGAAAAUCAAUAGACAAAUAUGCGAAUAAGU